rnacentral:RNase_P_RNA from 1 species
UGAGCAGGCCAGGUGGUCGCUGGCUUUCCGGCUCUGAUGCCGGGGGGCGAGAGGAAAGUCCGGGCUCCGCAGGGCAGGGUGCUGGGUAACACCCAGUCCCGGUGACGGGAAGGAAAGUGCCACAGAAAAGAGACCGCCCCGCACCCAUUUUUGGAGCUGUUGAGGUUCCUGUAACGUAUUGGUUGUACUCCAACGUUCAAACAGAAGUGUGGAAGCAGUUCUUAAAAUGGGUGCGGGGUAAGGGUGAAACGGUGAGGUAAGAGCUCACCAGUCCUGCUGGUGACAGCAGGAGCUAGGCAAACCCCACCCGGAGCAAGACCAAAUAGGAGGACGUCUGAGGAUGGCCCGUCCGAGUCCUCGGGUAGGUCGCUUGAGGUUGCGGGUAACCGUAACCCUAGAUAAAUGACCAUCACCCCGCACCCAUUUUAGAAUUGCUGGGGUUUCCGUAACGUAUUGGUUGUACUGCAACGUUCGAACAGAAGUCUGGAAGCAGUUCUUAAAAUGGGUGCGGGGAACAGAACCCGGCUUAUGGCCUGCUCAGCUU